rnacentral:rRNA from 1 species
AGAGUUUGAUCCUGGCUCAGGACGAACGCUGGCGGCGCGCCUAACACAUGCAAGUCGAACGAGAGAUGAGGAGCUUGCUCUUCAAAUCGAGUGGCGAACGGGUGAGUAACGCGUGAGGAACCUGCCUCGAAGAGGGGGACAACAGUUGGAAACGACUGCUAAUACCGCAUAAGCCCACGGCUCGGCAUCGAGCAGAGGGAAAAGGAGCAAUCCGCUUUGAGAUGGCCUCGCGUCCGAUUAGCUAGUUGGUGAGGUAACGGCCCACCAAGGCGACGGUCGGUAGCCGGACUGAGAGGUUGAACGGCCACAUUGGGACUGAGACACGGCCCAGACUCCUACGGGAGGCAGCAGUGGGGAAUAUUGCACAAUGGGGGAAACCCUGAUGCAGCGACGCCGCGUGGAGGAAGAAGGCUUUCGGGUUGUAAACUUCUUUUAUGAGGGACGAAGGAAGUGACGGUACCUCAUGAAUAAGCUCCGGCUAACUACGUGCCAGCAGCCGCGGUAAUACGUAGGGAGCGAGCGUUAUCCGGAUUUACUGGGUGUAAAGGGCGUGUAGGCGGGGAAGCAAGUCAGAUGUGAAAACCAGUGGCUCAACCACUGGCCUGCAUUUGAAACUGUUUUUCUUGAGUGAUGGAGAGGCAGGCGGAAUUCCGUGUGUAGCGGUGAAAUGCGUAGAUAUACGGAGGAACACCAGUGGCGAAGGCGGCCUGCUGGACAUUAACUGACGCUGAGGCUCGAAAGUGUGGGUAGCAAACAGGAUUAGAUACCCUGGUAGUCCACACCGUAAACGAUGAUUACUAGGUGUUGGAGGAUUGACCCCUUCAGUGCCGCAGUUAACACAAUAAGUAAUCCACCUGGGGAGUACGACCGCAAGGUUGAAACUCAAAGGAAUUGACGGGGGCCCGCACAAGCAGUGGAGUAUGUGGUUUAAUUCGACGCAACGCGAAGAACCUUACCAAGUCUUGACAUCCCUUGACGAUGCUGGAAACAGUAUUUCUCUUCGGAGCAAGGAGACAGGUGGUGCAUGGUUGUCGUCAGCUCGUGUCGUGAGAUGUUGGGUUAAGUCCCGCAACGAGCGCAACCCUUAUGGUCAGUUACUACGCAAGAGGACUCUGGCCAGACUGCCGUUGACAAAACGGAGGAAGGUGGGGAUGACGUCAAAUCAUCAUGCCCUUUAUGACUUGGGCUACACACGUACUACAAUGGCGUUAAACAAAGAGAAGCAAGACCGCGAGGUGGAGCAAAACUCAGAAACAACGUCCCAGUUCGGACUGCAGGCUGCAACUCGCCUGCACGAAGUCGGAAUUACUAGUAAUCGUGGAUCAGCAUGCCACGGUGAAUACGUUCCCGGGCCUUGCACACACCGCCCGUCA